GAUGAACGCUGGCGGCGUGCUUAACACAUGCAAGUCGAACGGAAAGGCUCCUGCUUGCAGGGGUACUCGAGUGGCGAAAGGGUGAGUAACACGUGGGUGAUCUGCCCUGCACUUCGGGAUAAGCCUGGGAAACUGGGUCUAAUACCGGAUAGGACGAUGGUUUGGAUGCCAUUGUGGAAAGUUUUUCGGUGUGGGAUGAGCUCGCGGCCUAUCAGCUUGUUGGUGGGGUAAUGGCCUACCAAGGCGUCGACGGGUAGCCGGCCUGAGAGGGUGUACGGCCACAUUGGGACUGAGAUACGGCCCAGACUCCUACGGGAGGCAGCAGUGGGGAAUAUUGCACAAUGGGCGCAAGCCUGAUGCAGCGACGCCGCGUGGGGGAUGACGGCCUUCGGGUUGUAAACUCCUUUCGCUAGGGACGAAGCGCAAGUGACGGUACCUGGAGAAGAAGCACCGGCUAACUACGUG
rnacentral:rRNA from 1 species